CCUACGGGUGGCAGCAGUGGGGAAUAUUGGACAAUGGGGGAAACCCUGAUCCAGCGACGCCGCGUGAGUGAAGAAGUAUUUCUGUACGUAACGCUCUAUCAGCAGGAAAGAAAAUGACGGUACCUUACUAAGCCUCCCCGGCUAACUACGUGCCAGCAGCCGCGGUAAUACGUAGGGGGCAAGCGUUAUCCGGAUUUACUGGGUGGAAAGGGAGCGUAGACGGCAGCGCAAGUCUGGAGUGAAAUGCCGGGGCCCAACCCCGGAACUGCUCUGGAAACUGUGAAGCUGGAGUGCAGGAGAGGUAAGCGGAAUUCCUGGUGUAGCGGUGAAAUGCGUAGAUAUCAGGAGGAACACCGGCGGCGAAGGCGGCUUACUGGACUGUAACUGACGUUGAGGCUCGAAGGCGUGGGGAGCAAACAGGAUUAGAUACCCCAGUAGUC
rnacentral:rRNA from 1 species